rnacentral:rRNA from 1 species
GACGAACCGUCCUAACGUUGUUCGGAAUCACUGGGCUUAAAGGGCGCGUAGGCGGCCCUGUAAGUCGGGGGUGAAAGCCCACGGCCCAACCGUGGAAGUGCCUCCGAUACUGCGGGGCUCGAGGGAGGUAGGGGCAGCGGGAACUUCCGGUGGAGCGGUGAAAUGCGUUGAUAUCGGAAGGAACGCCGGCGGCGAAAGCGCGCUGCUGGACCUCUGCUGACGCUGAGGCGCGAAAGCCAGGGGAGCAAACGGG